rnacentral:rRNA from 1 species
AACGAACGCUGGCGGCGUGGAUUAGGCAUGCAAGUCGAACGAGAAAGGUCCCUUCGGGGGGCCGAGUACAGUGGCAAACGGGUGAGUAACGCGUGGGAAACCUGCCCUUCAGUUGGGGAUAACACCUCUAACGGGGUGCUAAUACCGAAUACGUUCCCCGGGUCUCAUGGCCUGGGGGAGGAAAGGUGGCCUCUGCUUGCAUGCUGCCGCUGAAGGAUGGUCCCGCGUCCCAUUAGCUUGUUGGUAGGGUAACGGCCUACCAAGGCGACGAUGGGUAGCCGGCCUUAGCGGGUGACCGGCCACACUGGGAUUGAGAUACGGCCCAGACUCCUACGGGUGGCUG